rnacentral:lncRNA from 1 species
CCUCAAACUUGAAAUGCUCAAAAAAAUUACGUAGUUACAUAUAUUGACAAUAAUCAUGUCUUAAUACCCUGCUAACUGUUUUUUUUUCCUUCUUCCCCAUAACAAGUAGCUAAGGGGGAUCCAUCUCCCAACCACCCUCUAGCUUCGAAGAACGCCAAACCUUUGUUCGUUCACUGGAAAUCAUUACAAGUGAAUCAUACUUUCACCCAUCUGUCUCAUGAACCAAAGUUAACCAUCAAUCUCUUCAAAACCAGAGAAAAAACAAUGAACAAUAUGAAGCAAUUACACAAACAUCCGAGCGCAAGCCAUAAAAGAGAUGAAGAGAUGAUGUCUACCCAUGAAAUCCCACCUUACUCCCCCAAAUCCCUCAAACACACAUCAGCAGUCAGAUCUAUUUCACGGUCCGUUAAUUACAUCCUCAAAGAACAACGUCUUCUCUUCACCCUAGUCGGAAUCCUCAUCGGCUCCGUCUUCUUCAUCUAUCAACCAUCAUUAUCUACCGUUUCCUCAAUCAACACUGUUACUAGCAACGAAUUGCCCUCAAUGCAAGCAGUUUCAUUCUCCCAACGUGACACCAACACCCACUACAGCCGGCCAGCUACCCACGACACUACAGGACAGAUUCCGGUGGGGAUUGGGUGGAAGAGGAUGCGGGUGGUGGUGACUGGUGGAUCAGGGUUCGUAUGUUUAAAUAUGUAAUAUGGACAAUUAUAUAUAUAACACAAUACCCAAAAAUACUUGGUAAAAUAAUUCUUUUUCAAAUCUGAUAUAACACAAUAUUAAAAAAAAUAAUCCCUAUUCUAAUAAAUGAAUAGUUUUAAUUUCUUUUUGCAAAAUGUCAUUUUAAUAUAACUUCUUAUUAAUAUUAUACCAUAUGUCAUUUAGAUAUAUUAGACAACUCUUUUUUUAAAUUCAAAUUUACAUUUUCUAAUUAUAUGUUAAAUUUGAAGUUAUAAUAACUUUAAAUUUUUGAUAUAUCUAUUAAUUAAUAAUUUAUUUAAAAUAAUUAAUUAAUAAUUAUAAAACUUUAUUAUAAAAAUUUAAUUAAUUUUAUAAAUUAGUUAUCUAAUAAUAAACCCAACUAGUUUAUCCAGUAGGUACUAUUUUAUAAAAAAUCCUAUUAGCAACCGCUUUACUUGAUGUUUAAGAAAAGGAAUAACGGUCAGUUGAGUUAACUCGGGUGUCGGUGAAACAGAAAUCGACAAAACCAGUUUUGGAUCAAAACUCACAAUCAUUAAUGGGGAACCAUAACUCCGGCGGGCGCCACCACCUACGAAACCGUAGAAAUGGUGAAACUGUAGUUCAAGUCCCUCAUUAUCAAUACGGACCUCCAUCAAAUCAAGCUCCCGUCGAGCUCAAUUACGCAUAACCAAAUGGCAGUAGUAUCACUCCCUUACUCUCAAGUCGACUGUAACUUGCGAGCUCUCGCCGGACAAGCAGAGGGCUUCGGUCGCUUCGCCGUCGGUGGACUUAAUGGACCGCUCUACCAUGUCACUACUCUAUCAGGUUUAGUCUCGCUAAUUAAUGAUCGUUCUCGACUCUCGUUAUCGUUUUGUUGGAUAAUUAGGGUUUUGCUAUCAAUGUACCGAUUCUGAAAUCGAUUAAUCUGCCAAAUCGUAUUCAGUUGAUUCAUUUAUUCAGAUAAUUGAUGUUAUACAUGAACAAGCUUUUACCUUGUUGUGUAGAUGAUGGACCUGGUUCACUUCGUGCUGGAUGUCGCAAGAAAGAACCUUUAUGGAUCGUAUUUGAAGUUUCGGGUUCCAUUGAACUGUCAUCUUAUCUAAAUGUAUCAUCUUACAAGACCAUUGAUGGACGUGGGCAGAGGAUUAAGCUUACUGGAAAGGGUUUGAGGCUGAAAGAAUGCGAACAUGUGAUUAUCUGCAACUUGGAAUUUGAAGGAGGUAGAGGGCAUGAUAUAGAUGGCAUUCAAAUCAAGCCUAAUUCAAAGCAUAUAUGGAUUGAUCGUUGUAGCCUCAAGGAUUAUGAUGAUGGGUUGAUUGAUAUUACCCGCCAAAGCACAAAUAUUACCAUUUCCCGGUAAUUACUUAAGAAGUAUUAACAGUGACUAUUUGUUAGUUCAGGUUGAUGAAAAAACAACUUUUUGUAUUUUAACUUUCUUUUUUGUGUAUUUAGUUGUCACUUUUCAAACCAUGACAAGACAAUACUAAUUGGAGGUGAUGCUUCACACCAUGGAGACAGAUGCAUGUGUGUCACUAUUCACCAUUGUUUCUUUGAUGGGACCCGCCAAAGGCAUCCACGUGUCAGGUUUGCCAAAGUACAUUUGUAUAACAAUUACACAAGAAACUGGGGAAUAUAUGCUGUCUGCGCUAGUGUUGAAUCACAGGUACACAAAUCUCUAAAUUUCCUUUUCCUUUUUCUUUUUUUUGAUCUUUAAGCAUAUGUAUAUAACUUAUUGAUUGCUUACUUCAGAUAUACUCUCAAUGCAAUAUAUAUGAAGCAGGACAGAAGAAGGUGGCUUUUAAGUACCUCACUGAGAAGGUAAACUACAUACUUUUUAUCGGCUGAGUGGUACCAUAUGCAGUGAUGGUUGUACAUUCUGCAGGCAGGUGACAAAGAGGAGGCAUGCACAGGUUGCAUUGUGUCUGAAGGUGAUCUGUUUAUGGCUGGAACUCAAGCUGGCUUAUUGGCUCCAGAUGCAACAAGUGGCUUAUUUCAUCCAAGCCAACACUAUGAGAAAUGCUCUGUUGAACCUGCAACAAUGGAACUUAAAGAUGUGUUGAAGCGUUGUACAGGGUGGCAACAAGUUCCAUGCCCAGCUGGCGAGUAAUCGGUUGUGUAUUCUUGGGUGAAUAUAUAUUAUAUUGAGAAAUUUGGUUUUAAUUGUUGAUGCAGAAUCGAUUUUCCUGGUGGGUCCAUCCCAAUGACAUGAUUUUGAAGUGUAUGAGUUAAUCUAUGUUGUAUGAAUCGAGUGUUUGAGAAGGGAGAAAUCCGAUUUAUGAUGCUAGGAACGAUUAUUUUCAAAAAAGAAAUCAGAUGCUUGUUGUUGAUGGAUAUGAUUCUAGACAUCUUUUUAGUUUUUGGUUUGAUUGUUUCUUGAAGAGGAAGAUAAAAGGGGUGAAUACUUCUUGAUUUUUAAUUUCUUGUUUUGUGAAGAGAGAGAGAGAGAGAGAGAGCCNGAGAGAGAGAGAGAGAGAGAGAGAGAGAGAGCCUUUUCAUUUUUUAAUUAUUAAAAUAAAUAAAUAAUUAUUAAAACUUUAAAAAAAAGAUUUUAGAAAUAGAAAAUAAAUACCCAAGGAUAUUAAAGUCAUUUCAGUUUACCGAUGGACCAAAUCUACAACCAAAAUAGCUCAAAAGGACCACGAAACAAAAAAAGUCGGGGUUUGAACUAAAACCCUAAAAAAAUCAUACCACAUGGACCAUUUUUGCAAUUUUGUCUUUUUUUAAUAACCAAUAAAUCAAAACGAAAUAAAAAAGUUCCAUUAACUUCAAAAAUAAGAUUUCAAUAAAAAAAAAAAUUUAAACUUGUCUUUUAAUUUCUCUUUAGCUUUUUAACUAUAAUAACUUAAAAUAAAUAGUAAUCCAAACAUUAAAAAUGUUAAUCUAUAUUAGAAAUAAAAAAAACAUUUUUAAAGUUAAAAAACUCCCAAACACCCCUCAAAAUACUAAAUUUUUUUUGGGUAGUUACUGACAAUAAUCAUGUCUUAGUACCUGCUAAAUGUUCUUUUCCUUCUUCCCCAAAUCAAGUAGCCAAGGGGGAUCCACCUCCCAACCACCUUCUAGCUUCGAAGAACGCCAAACCUUUGUUCGUUCACUGGAAAUCGUUACAAGUGAAUCAUACUUUCACACAUCUUUCUCAUGAACCAAAGUUAACCAGCAAUCUCUUCAAAACCAGAGAAAAAACAAUGAACAAUAUGAAGCAAUUACACAAACAUCCAAGCGCAAACCAUAGAAGAGAUGAAGAGAUGAUGUCUCCCCAUGAAAUCCCACCUUACUCCCCCAAAUCCCUCAAACACACAUCAGCAGUCAGAUCUAUUUCACUAUCCGUGAAUUACAUCCUCAAAGAACAACGCCUUCUCUUCACCCUAGUCGGAAUCCUCAUCGGCUCCGUCUUCUUCAUCUAUCAACCAUCAUUAUCU